UACGUAGGGGGCAAGCGUUGUCCGGAUUUAUUGGGCGUAAAGCGCGUGUAGGCGGCUAGGUAAGUCUGCUCUGAAAGCCCGGGGCUCAACCCUGGGAGGCGGGUGGAUACUGCUUAGCUCGAGUCCGGAAGAGGCGAGUGGAAUUCCUGGUGUAGCGGUGAAAUGCGCAGAUAUCAGGAGGAACACCAAUGGCGAAGGCAGUUCUCUGGGCCGUAACUGACGCUGAGGAGCGAAAGCGUGGGGGAGCGAACAGG
rnacentral:rRNA from 1 species